rnacentral:rRNA from 1 species
CAGUCGCCACGGUAAUACAGAGGCCUCAAGCGUUGUUCGGAUUCAUUGGGCGUAAAGGGAGCGUAGGCGGUCGGGUAAGUCGGAUGUGAAAUCUUGGGGCUCAACCUCAAAACUGCAUUCGAUACUGCUUGGCUAGAGGAAUGGAGGGGAGAUUGGAAUUCACGGUGUAGCAGUGAAAUGCGUAGAUAUCGUGAGGAAGACCAGUGGCGAAGGCGGAUCUCUGGACAUUUCCUGACGCUGAUGCUCGAAGGCCAGGGGAGCAAACGGGAUUAGAUACCCGGGUAGUCCCUGUCUCUUAUAC